rnacentral:rRNA from 1 species
UUUGAGACCGGCGCACGGGUGCGUAACGCGUAUGCAAUCUACCUUGUACAAAGGGAUAGCCCAGAGAAAUUUGGAUUAAUACCUUAUAGUAUUAUAAAAUGGCAUCAUUUAAUAAUUAAAGAUUUAUCGGUAUAAGAUGAGCAUGCGUCCCAUUAGUUAGUUGGUAAGGUAACGGCUUACCAAGACAGCGAUGGGUAGGGGCCCUGAGAGGGGGAUCCCCCACACUGGUACUGAGACACGGACCAGACUCC